rnacentral:hammerhead_ribozyme from 1 species
GCACUGCUGAAGAGUCUCAUAAUAGGACGAAAUGAACAUCCAAUGC